AUACGGAGGAUGCGAGCGUUAUCCGGAUUUAUUGGGUUUAAAGGGAGCGUAGGUGGGAUAUUAAGUCAGCUGUGAAAGUUUGGGGCUCAACCUUAAAAUUGCAGUUGAUACUGGUUUCCUUGAGUACGGUACAGGUGGGCGGAAUUCGUGGUGUAGCGGUGAAAUGCUUAGAUAUCACGAAGAACUCCGAUCGCGAAGGCAGCUCACCGGGCCGGAACUGACACUGAUGCUCGAAAGUGCGGGUAUCAAACAGGAUUAGAUACCCUGGUGGUCCGCACAGUAAACGAUGAAUACUCGCUGUUUGCGAUACACUGUAAGCGGCCAAGCGAAAGCGUUAAGUAUUCCACCUGGGGAGUACGCCGGCAACGGUGAAACUCAAAGGAAUUGACGGG
rnacentral:rRNA from 1 species